GAUGAAGAACGCAGCGAAAUGCGAUAAGUAAUGUGAAUUGCAGAAUUCAGUGAAUCAUCGAAUCUUUGAACGCACAUUGCGCCCCCUGGUAUUCCGGGGGGCAUGCCUGUCCGAGCGUCAUUACAACCCUCAAGCUCAGCUUGGUGUUGGGCCCCGCCGCCCCGGCGGGCCCUAAAGUCAGUGGCGGUGCCGUCCGGCUCCGAGCGUAGUAAUUCUUCUCGCUCUGGAGGUCCGGUCGUGUGCUCGCCAGCAACCCCCAACUUUCUUAAGUUUGACCUGGGAUGAGGUAGGGAUACCCGCUGAACUUAAGCAUAUCAAUAAGCGGAGGA
rnacentral:misc_RNA from 1 species